UACGUAGGGUGCGAGCGUUAAUCGGAAUUACUGGGCGUAAAGCGUGCGCAGGCGGCUUUGCAAGACAGAUGUGAAGUCCCCGGGCUCAACCUGGGAACUGCAUUUGUGACUGCAAGGCUAGAGUACGGCAGAGUGGGAUGGAAUUCCGCGUGUAGCAGUGAAAUGCGUAGAUAUGCGGAGGAACACCAAUGGCGAAGGCAAUCCCCUGGGCCUGUACUGACGCUCAUGCA
rnacentral:rRNA from 1 species